AGGGAGGUGCCCUACAACGCGGGGGUGGACUGAGAUGCGUAGGAUGAUCUGCUUCUGUAUAAGAUGCAACCCACCGGGCAAUCAACGUUGUAAUAACAACCUUGAAUCAACGUAAAUUCAACAUCACAACGUUUAAUCAACAUCAUAUGCCUGGUGGGCAGUCACUUAAAGUUCUAUUGGUUGAAAAUAUUAGACGUCUUAUAUUUCCGAUUCUGUAUUCGGUAUAGAAUAGUGGAAGUUUAUUAUUAUUAUGAGUGGUGCGAUGGGAGGUAGAGGACGUCUGGUAUCUUCAAUACGUUCACGGUUGGAGCUUCCAAUAUUGGUUUGAUUAAUAACAGCUCGCGGUUGGGAUAUUCAGUUUGCAUUCGUCUAGGCUAUUAGUUAUUUCACUUUGCUGCGACGAUUUAAGUAAUGUCUGGCCCGAUUGUUAUUGGAGAUUUAUUCUUCACUGAAUAUCUUUUUCGUUGUAAACACAUACUACCAACAAUCCAGAACAAAAUAGAAAUGUUUGGGUAUCCAUUUUCUGCACGCAAUUUAUUUUCAGGCGAGUAAUCUUGGAUUUUUUCAUGUCAUUUGUAUAUGAAUUUAAUUCAAGAGAUUGUUUUUGCUGUCGCCUUUGCUUGGUCCGGAAAAGUCGGCACAAAAUUCGCUCUAAAACUCAUUUUUACGCCGUAGUGAGCAUGAACAAAUUAACAUGGUGAGUUUCUCCUGAAUUCCUCUGUUGUAAAUAUUCAUUAUGGUUCUGAGUCGAUGUGUUCCGCCAGUCAACGGAUGUUCUUUCCAUAAGACGAAUUUAGCGAAUGUUCCUGCCAACAGUUCGAUGUUGACAAAUGUUCCUGCCAACAGUUCGAGGUUGACGAAUGUUCCUGCCAACAGUUCGAUGUUGACCAAUGUUCCUGCCAACAGUUCGAGGUUGACGAAUGUUCCUGCAACAGUUCGAGGUUGACGAAUGUUCCUGCAACAGUUCGAGGUUGACGAAUGUUCCUGCAACAGUUCGAUGUUGACGAAUGUUCCUGCAACAGUUCGAUGUUGACGAAUGUUCCUGCAACAGUUCGAUGUUGACGAAUGUUCCUGCAACAGUUCGAUGUUGACGAAUGUUCCUGCAACAGUUCGAUGUUGACGAAUGUUCCUGCAACAGUUCGAUGUUGACGAAUGUUCCUGCAACAGUUCGAUGUUGCCGAAUGUUCCUGCAACAGUUCGAUGUUGACGAAUGUUCCUGCAACAGUUCGAUGUUGCCGAAUGUUCCUGCAACAGUUCGAUGUUGACGAAUGUUUCUGUCAAUUGUUCGAGGUUGACGAAUGUUCCUGCAACAGUUCGAUGUUGACGAAUGUUUCUGUCAAUUGUUCGAGGUUGUCGAAUGUUCCUGCAACAGUUCGAUGUUGACGAAUGUUUCUGUCAAUUGUUCGAGGUUGACGAAUGUUCCUGCAACAGUUCGAUGUUGACGAAUGUUUCUGUCAAUUGUUCGAGGUUGACGAAUGUUCCUGUAACAGUUCGAUGUAGACGAAUGUUCCUGCAACAGUUCGAGGUUGACGAAUGUUCCUGCAACAGUUCGAUGUUGACGAAUGUUUCUGUCAAUUGUUCGAGGUUGACGAAUGUUCCUGUAACAGUUCGAUGUAGACGAAUGUUCCUGCAACAGUUCGAGGUUGAGUGUUCCUGCAACAGUUCGAUGUUGACGAAUGUUUCUGUCAAUUGUUCGAGGUUGACGAAUGUUCCUGCAACAGUUCGAGGUUGACGAAUGUUCCUGCCAACAGUUCGAUCUUGAUGAAUGUUCAGCAGUAGGACAUAGGCGGGAGCGCGUUCUAUAGCGUCAGGAAGCUAGGUCGUCUCACCAAGAGUACUCAAGUAGAAGGUAUUUUCUCACUGGUAGCUAGGACUUAUUAUUUGGGUAGACUAUAUAAUGGAUUCACUGUACAAUGAAUUCACGACAUCGUAAAUAAUAUCAAUCUCAAAUCGCUACCCACAUCCGUUCUCGCUUUGAAUAGCAAAGUUUAGUCUCCGAGGUCAAUAAUAUUCUAAAAAAAAUAAGAUUCUAACAAAAUAUGAAUUCAGUCAAGUAGUAACUGGUUGAAUAUAGUUUGGACAGUUUUCUUCUGCAUUGGAUACAAUUUCAAGCUAUAACUGUCGUACUAUCAAUCGCUUCCUCUCAUCCACUUUUGCAAACAGCAGUUUUUCCGAGUUCAGCUGGCACCUACGCUGAUCUGUUUUAUUUGUGUUCUCGACAUCUUUUGUUGUGUUACUCCUUUUUCUCAAGAGAUGCUUUGCUUCUUUUAACUUAUGUUAAUGUACUCUUUUCUAUAUUGUUUGUUGCAUUUGUUUUCUUUUAGAUUGCGAAGUAACGAAUGCUUGAAUUCAUAAAUUCGAGCCUCUAUGCAAUCGGACACCCAAAGGUUUUUUUUUCAGUUUAUGGAUCUGACUUGACGGUUUUCUGUAGCACAGAUCUGUAGUGUGCGGCAUUUGAAGACCGCGUGUUAAGCAUUGAUCAUUUAUUGGUAAAAUCCGUUCCUUGUUUCUAAACAAAUGAUAUUUUUGGGGUUUUGUUCUAAUUCCAACUUCUCGAUAGAUCAAUCAUUUUUAUUCCCGAAGAAAUUUCUUGGGUCAGUAAACGGCAAAAAAUAAAGGACUUUGUAUCAAAA